ACACAGACCGGGGUCAACGAACGUGCAUGUCUACACUGGCAGCUUGGAGUUGCCUAGACCAUCUCUGGAAAGGACUCACCAGCGACCCUGGGAGCAGGACGCAUGAGAGAGGCUCGAAAGGCCCAUUUGCUGAUAAUAUGAUUGUUCCUCCUCUUUGUUCAGAGAACGUUUUAAAGGUCAGCUCUGUGGCCUUCCCUGGAGCUGCCAGCCGACUGUAGAACUCACCCUCUUCAUGGAAAGCCCCGUGCAGUGGCCCCCUGGUGAUGGCAUCCGACAGUGACGUGAAGAUGCUGCUGAACUUUGUGAACCUGGCGUCCAGUGACAUCAAGGCGGCCCUGGACAAGUCUGCGCCCUGUCGCCGCUCGGUGGACCACCGCAAGUACCUGCAGAAGCAGCUCAAACGCUUCUCCCAGAAGUAUUCCCGGCUCCCGCGGGGCCUCCCCGGCAGAGGGGCCGAGCCUCACCUGAAAAGGGGGCCCGAGGACCGGCCUGGGAGGCUGCCCCUCGACACCGGCCACAAUUCCAGCCCCAGUGGGGGUGGGGGCUGCAAGGAGAAGGCGUCGGGGAACCCCUACAGGGAGGAGAGUCUCCCUAAGGAGCAGACCCUACACGGGCAGGAUCCAGAAGCUGCCAGGCCUGGCCAGGUGCCCAUGAGGAAAAGACAGCUGCCCGCCUCCUUCUGGGAAGAGCCACAGCCCACCCACAGCUACCCCGUGGGGCUGGAGGGGGGACUGGGCCCCCGGGAGGGACCUCCCUACGACGGGAAGAAACACUGCAAAGGCUUGGAGCCCCUGGGGCCCGAGACAUCCCCCAGGGCGCCCGCUGAGAAGGAGCCACUCAAGAUGCCCGGGGUCUCCCUGGGGGGCCGUGUCAGUGCCUGGAGCUGCUGCCCCUUCCAGUACCACGGACAGCCCAUCUACCCAGGCCCACCAGGGGCCUUGCCUCAGGGCCCGGUCCCCAGCCUGGGCCUGUGGCGGAAGAGCUCGGCUUCCCCCAGCGAGCUGGCCCACUUCUGCAAGGAUGCGGAGGGCCCAGGGCAGAAAGUGUACAGACCCGUGGUUCUGAAGCCCAUCCCCACCAAGCCAGCCGUGCCCCCGCCCAUCUUCAAUGUCUUUGGCUACCUCUAGCCAGGCUGGGAGGGCCUCAGCCCCCCACUCGUGGCCUGCAGGGGGUGUUGGGGACCCCAGGGGGCUCUCCUUGUGAGGAGUGAGCUGGGCAGUGGUGUGGCCUCUUGAGAACCUUCCCUUUGUGUGUGUGGGGGAGGGAGAGGGCAGGAUCGGGCCAGGGGCUUCUCAGGCUGUUGCCAAGCCAGCCCUUGCAACCUUGGAGCGGUGGGGCUGGGCUCAGCAGACCCCUCCCCAAACGGAGCCCGCCACAUCGCCCACGUGCCUGUGCAGACCUCAGGCGGCGGGGCACUGCCCUGGCCCGCCAGCCACCCCAGAAGCCAGAGUGACCCAUCUGUUCAUCUGCCACCCCCUGUGUAAGCCAAUCUCAGUUCUGUUCUUCUUGUUGUUUGUAAAUAUUAAGAAGGUUAAAAGAAUAAAGACGUUUCUUUUGCAGUUUG
rnacentral:lncRNA from 1 species